rnacentral:rRNA from 1 species
UACGUAGGGUCCGAGCGUUGUCCGGAAUUAUUGGGCGUAAAGGGCUCGUAGGCGGCCUGUUGCGUCGGGAGUGAAAACUUACAGCUUAACUGUGAGCGUGCUUUCGAUACGGGCAGGACUUGAGGCAUUCAGGGGAGAACGGAAUUCCUGGUGUAGCGGUGAAAUGCGCAGAUAUCAGGAGGAACACCGGUGGCGAAGGCGGAUCUCUGGGCCAUUACUGACGCUGAGGAGCGAAAGCGUGGGGAGCGAACAGG